rfam:Ictidomys tridecemlineatus contig086119, whole genome shotgun sequence.
AUGGUUGUGGUUCAGUGGUGGAGCACUUGCCUCACAUGUAUGAGACACUGGGUUCAAUCCCCAGCACCACA